rnacentral:ncRNA from 1 species
UCUAAGGCGAUGAUGAGAAAGAGUACAAAGAGGGUUUGCGACCAGCGAAAAUGGGAUAGUGGAAGCCAUUUGCAAGGAGUUUUUGGAAGUGCGUCUCGGAGUUGAUUGGAAGAAUUCAGAAGUAUUCCAAUCCGUAUUGACUGCGUUAAAGUUUUAAGCUGGAACGGUAUAGCCGUUCAAACAGAGUGGGACCGCGGAACUUUUCGUCUCUGGA